rnacentral:rRNA from 1 species
GUGGGGAAUUUUGGACAAUGGGCGCAAGCCUGAUCCAGCAAUGUCGCGUGUGUGAAGAAGGCCUUCGGGUUGUAAAGCACUUUUGGCAGGAAAGAAAUAGUGCGUGCUAAUACCAUGCGCGAAUGACGGUACCUGCAGAAUAAGCACCGGCUAACUACGUGCCAGCAGCCGCGGUAAGACGUAGGGUGCAAGCGUUAAUCGGAAUUACUGGGCGUAAAGCGUGCGCAGGCGGUUUUGUAAGACAGGUGUGAAAUCCCCGGGCUCAACCUGGGAACUGCACUUGUGACUGCAAGGCUAGAGUGUGUCAGAGGGAGGUGGAAUUCCGCGUGUAGCAGUGAAAUGCGUAGAGAUGCGGAGGAACACCGAUGGCGAAGGCAGCCUCCUGGGAUAACACUGACGCUCAGGCACGAAAGCGUGGGGAGCAAACAGGAUUAGAAACCCUGGUAGUCC